rnacentral:rRNA from 1 species
UAACCUUGCGGCCGUACUCCCCAGGCGGUCUACUUAAUGCGUUAGCUUGAGAGCCCAGUGUUCAAGACACCAAACUCCGAGUAGACAUCGUUUACGGCGUGGACUACCAGGGUAUCUAAUCCUGUUUGCUCCCCACGCUUUCGUGCCUGAGCGUCAGUCUUUGUCCAGGGGGCCGCCUUCGCCACCGGUAUUCCUCCAGAUCUCUACGCAUUUCACCGCUACACCUGGAAUUCUACCCCCCUCUACAAGACUCUAGUUCGCCAGUUCGAAAUGCAAUUCCCAGGUUGAGCCCGGGGCUUUCACGUCUCGCUUAACAAACCGCCUGCGCACGCUUUACGCCCAGUAAUUCCGAUUAACGCUCGGACCCUCCGUAUUACCGCGGCUGCUGGCACGGAGUUAGCCGGUCCUUCUUCUGUAGGUAACGUCACAGUAAUAGCGUAUUAAACUAUUACCUUUCCUCCCUACUGAAAGUGCUUUACAACCCGAAGGCCUUCUUCACACACGCGGCAUGGCUGCAUCAGGGUUUCCCCCAUUGUGCAAUAUUCCCCA